rnacentral:rRNA from 1 species
CUACAGAGGGUGCGAGCGUUAAUCGGAAUUACUGGGCGUAAAGCGCGCGUAGGCGGCUUAUUAAGUCAGAUGUGAAAUCCCCGGGCUCAACCUGGGAACUGCAUCUGAUACUGGUAAGCUAGAGUUUUGGAGAGGGAAGUAGAAUUUCAGGUGUAGCGGUGAAAUGCAUAGAGAUCUGAAGGAAUACCAGUGGCGAAGGCGACUUCCUGGCCAAAAACUGACGCUGAGGUGCGAAAGCGUGGGUAGCAAACGGGAUUAGAAACCCGAGUAGUCC